rnacentral:rRNA from 1 species
CCUACGGGAGGCAGCAGUGGGGAAUAUUGCACAAUGGGGGAAACGCUGAUCCAGCGACGCCGCGUGAGUGAAGAAGUAUUUCGGUAUUUAAAGCUCUAUCAGUAGGGAAGAAAGUGACGGUACCGGAUUAAGAAGCCCCGUCUAACUACGUGCCAGCAGCCGCGGUAAUACGUAGGGGGCAAGCGUUAUCCGGAUUUACUGGGUGUAAAGGGAGCGUAGACGGCAGCGCAAGUCUGAAGUGAAAUGCCGGGGGUUAACCCCGGAACUGCUUUGGAAACUGUGCAGCUAGAAUGCAGGAGAGGUAAGUGGAAUUCCUAGUGUAGCGGUGAAAUGCGUAGAUAUUAGGAGGAACACCAGUGGCGAAGGCGGCUUACUGGACUGUAACUGACGUUGAGGCUCGAAAGCGUGGGGAGCAAACAGGAUUAGAUACCCUGGUAGUC